rnacentral:lncRNA from 1 species
AAUCAGCUCUCCAAAGAGUUAUAAAACAGUAAAGGAAAUGAAAUAUGUUAGCCUUGAAGGUGAUGCGAUGAAGACCUUUGGCCAUAGGCAUAGACAGACAUACUUUCUUACUUAGCUCGUGUGGCAGGUCUCUUCCAGCAACCUUCUAAUGAGGACAUUUCUGCUUCUCUUAUGCUUCCAUCAUCGUUUCCUUCUGCCUACACCAUCAACCCCAGUCUACGACUGGUUUUACCCAUCAGUCUCUGGUGUCAUCUCCCAUGGCUUCUGGAACCAUGAUAGUCAGUGGAACAAUGAAAGUUUAGACACGACGAAAAAUAUCUUAAUAAGGAGUUGCCUUGGACUGGAGAGAUGGCUCAGCAGUUAAGAGCACUGACUGCUCUUCCAGAGGUCCUGAUUUUAAAUACCAACAACCAACAUGGAGGCUCACAACCAUCUGUAAUGAGAUAUGAUGUCCUCUCUUCUGGUGUGUCUUAAGACAGCUACAGUGUAAUUGUAUAUAAUAAAUAAAUAA